UACGUAGGGUCCGAGCGUUGUCCGGAAUUAUUGGGCGUAAAGGGCUCGUAGGCGGUCUGUUGCGUCGGGAGUGAAAACUUACAGCUUAACUGUGAGCGUGCUUCCGAUACGGGCAGACUUGAGGUAUUCAGGGGAGAACGGAAUUCCUGGUGUAGCGGUGAAAUGCGUAGAUAUCAGGAGGAAUACCGAUGGCGAAGGCAGGUCUCUGGGCUAUAACUGACGCUCAUGCACGAAAGCGUGGGGAGCAAACAGG
rnacentral:rRNA from 1 species